UACGUAGGGUGCGAGCGUUGUCCGGAAUUAUUGGGCGUAAAGAGCGUGUAGGCGGUCCGAUAAGUCCGCUCUGAAAGCCCGGGGCUCAACCCCGGGAGGCGGGCGGAUACUGUCGGGCUAGAGUCCGGAAGAGGCAAGUGGAAUUCCUGGUGUAGCGGUGAAAUGCGCAGAUAUCAGGAGGAACACCGAUGGCGAAGGCAGCUUGCUGGGACGGUACUGACGCUGAGACGCGAAAGCGUGGGGAGCAAACAGG
rnacentral:rRNA from 1 species